rnacentral:tRNA from 1 species
GGAAGGUUCGCCUAGUUGGUCUAUGGCGCCACCUUGGAAAGGUGGUGGGUUUGCGCCCACGCGGGUUCGAAUCCCGCACCUUCCG